CGACCUACCUAGCACCGGAGGUGGAGGAGCAGCGAGGAUCGGCGCUGGUACGGAGGUGGAGGAGCAUUGAGGAGUGGUGCUGGGACGGAGGUGGAGGAGCAGCGACGGGCGGCGGCUUGGAUGGCGCUGGGUGAAGGGGGCUCUGGUGGCAGGCCGACCGGUGUCGGCCGCGCUCCCUCAGCCGUGCCCUCGCUCUUCAUCAUCUGCCGUCACGCCUCUCUCCCUCGUCCUAGCAUGGUACGCGGUUCCCAGGCAGCGUGACACUGGAAAAGAAGUGCAACAAGUCAGUAUUACACGAUCCUACACCUGUUGUGAUAAUUUGCAGCUAACCCAGACAAGCCUGUGAUUAUUCAAGAUACCAAAAUCAUUAAUAUGCCAAUAUCGACCGCUUCUCACUUCAUAUUGACAUCAUGUACUGCAGUGCAAGGAUUACCUCAAUGAACUGCCAUGUUCUGUACGAAAAGGAAAAGAGGAUGAGAG